AUGUUGCACAAUGCCAAGAAUGGCACAUCAAUAGCACACCUCCUUCGUUUGUGCGAGCUGCACUAUGACGCCACAGUGACCAUCCUCAACAUCUCCAACACCAUGCUCAAGGACAACCACGGGCCCAAAGGUGGUGAAAAAUAUGGACCCCCGUCCUAUUAUUUACCCUACUGUGUGGGUAUGGCAUCCAGCCUUGUCGACUACUGUGGGCAUGAGCUUGUUGGUAUGCCUGGGCAGGAGGCGUUGUACAAACAAAAUAUUGAGCUUGGCGAACUGGGUAGCCUCAACGUUGCCUUGGUGGCGCCAUAUUGGGAUUUAACCCAAAAUUAG
rnacentral:rRNA from 1 species